CUACACAUGCAGUCGAGCGGUAGCACAGAGAGCUUGCUCUCGGGUGACGAGCGGCGGACGGGUGAGUAAUGUCUGGGAAACUGCCUGAUGGAGGGGGAUAACUACUGGAAACGGUAGCUAAUACCGCAUAACGUCGCAAGACCAAAGUGGGGGACCUUCGGGCCUCAUGCCAUCAGAUGUGCCCAGAUGGGAUUAGCUAGUAGGUGGGGUAAUGGCUCACCUAGGCGACGAUCCCUAGCUGGUCUGAGAGGAUGACCAGCCACACUGGAACUGAGACACGGUCCAGACUCCUACGGGAGGCAGCAGUGGGGAAUAUUGCACAAUGGGCGCAAGCCUGAUGCAGCCAUGCCGCGUGUAUGAAGAAGGCCUUCGGGUUGUAAAGUACUUUCAGCGAGGAGGAAGGCRUUAAGGUUAAUAACCUURGUGAUUGACGUUACUCGCAGAAGAAGCACCGGCUAACUCCGUGCCAGCAGCCGCGGUAAUACGGAGGGUGCAAGCGUUAAUCGGAAUUACUGGGCGUAAAGCGCACGCAGGCGGUCUGUUAAGUCAGAUGUGAAAUCCCCGGGCUCAACCUGGGAACUGCAUUUGAAACUGGCAGGCUUGAGUCUUGUAGAGGGGGGUAGAAUUCCAGGUGUAGCGGUGAAAUGCGUAGAGAUCUGGAGGAAUACCGGUGGCGAAGGCGGCCCCCUGGACAAAGACUGACGCUCAGUGCGAAAGCGUGGGGAGCAAACAGGAUUAGAUAC
rnacentral:rRNA from 1 species